UUCGGCAAUGUCUUGUCUGGUUUUGUUUUUUCUUUUAUUUUUUUUUUGUUUUUUUUUUAGUUUCCUUGAAUCAACCUCGCUUCUCUUUUAGAAAGGUUUCAAUCGGAUCAAAAUCUUAGAUCGAUUUGUUUCAUCAUGCCCUCUCUGUUAGGGUUCAAUCAUCUUCAAGCUUUUGAUUUGCAUGCAAGGAUUUGAGACUUUUGUUUGCUUUUAUUUGUUUGAUUAGAUUGGUUCUGGGUUUGAUGUUCUGAAGCGUUGUUUUUUAUUUCGUCUGUGCUGAAUCAAGCUAUUGUCGAAGCCAGAUUCUCUCUGUCGCGUUUUCCUGUCUCCGGUAUGUUUUCGGUGGAAUACCGAUUAGACCGUCUGGCAACGGCUUACCUUUGGGUGUAGCGUCAACUCUCAACUGCUAACGGGGUUUGUCUAUAAAAGGAAGCCAACAAGCAAACUCUCACCAUAAAAAGCUGUCUAGUUAACAAAACCAAUACCACUCCUCCGUUUCUGUGUAUUGAUUGUAGACUUUGUAGUUACAGAAUCUUGUUUCCUAAUAUUUUAUUAAUACAAGUCAGUAACUAAAAUA